CCUACGGGUGGCAGCAGUGGGGAAUUUUGGACAAUGGGCGCAAGCCUGAUCCAGCUAUUCCGCGUGUGGGAAGACGGCCUUCGGGUUGUAAACCACUUUUGUAGAGAACGAAAAGUCUGUUGAUAAUACCGAUAGAUGAUGACGGUACUCUAAGAAUAAGCACCGGCUAACUACGUGCCAGCAGCCGCGGUAAUAAGUAGGGUGCGAGCGUUAAUCGGAAUUACUGGGCGUAAAGGGUGUGCAGGCGGUUUUGCAAGAUGGAUGUGAAAGCCCCGGGAUUAACCUGGGAAAGCCAUACAUGACGGCAAGACUAGAGUGCGUCAGAGGGGGGUGGAAUUCCAAGUGUAGCAGUGAAAUGCGUAGAUAUUGGGAAGAACACCGAUGGCGAAGGCAGCCCCCUGGGACGCAACUGACGCUCAUACACGAAAGCGUGGGGAGCAAACAGGAUUAGAUACCCCUGUAGUC
rnacentral:rRNA from 1 species